GUAAUGGUGGACUGAAAGGUGUGUUUGUUGCCAACAGAUCAUAUAUUUUAGUAAUGGGGGACUGAAAGGUGUGUUUGUUGCCAACAGAUCAUAUAUUUUAGUAAUGGGGGACUGAAAGGUGUGUUUGUUGCCAACAGAUCAUAUAUUUUAGUAAUGGUGGACUGAAAGGUGUGUUUGUUGCCAACAGAUCAUAUAUUUUAGUAAUGAUGGACUGAAAGGUGUGUUUGUUGUCAACAGAUCAUAUAUUUUAGUAAUGGUGGACUGAAAGGUGUGUUUGUUGCCAACAGAUCAUAUAUUUUAGUAAUGGUGGACUGAAAGGUGUGUUUGUUGUCAACAGAUCAUAUAUUUUAGUAAUGGGGGACUGA